AAUAUUGGACAAUGGUCGAAAUCCUGAUCCAGCAAGGCCGCGUGUGUGAAGAAUGUCAUCGGUUUGUAAAUCACAUGAAGUUGGGAGGAAUGUCAGUAGAUUAAUACGUUGCUGUAUUGACUAUACCGCCAGAAUAAGCACCGACUAACUUCGUGCCUGCAGCCGCGGUAAUACGAAGGGUGCAAGCGUUAAUCGGAAUUACUGGGCGUACAGCGCGCGUAGGUGGUUUGUUAAGUUGGAAGUGAAAGCCCCGGGCUCAACCUGGGAACUGCUUUCAAAACUGGCAAGCUAGAGUACGGCAGAGGGUGGUGGAAUUUCCUGUGUAGCGGUGAAAUGCGUAGAUAUAGGAAGGAACACCAGUGGCGAAGGCGACCACCUGGGCUAAUACUGACACUGAGGUGCGAAAGCGUGGGGAGCAAA
rnacentral:rRNA from 1 species